AAACCAACAGGGAUUGCCCUAGUAACGGCGAGUGAAGCGGCAACAGCUCAAAUUUGAAAUCUGGCUUCGGCCCGAGUUGUAAUUUGCAGAGGAAGCUUUAGGCGCGGCACCUUCUGAGUCCCCUGGAACGGGGCGCCAUAGAGGGUGAGAGCCCCGUAUAGUUGGAUGCCUAGCCUGUGUAAAGCUCCUUCGACGAGUCGAGUAGUUUGGGAAUGCUGCUCAAAAUGGGAGGUAAAUUUCUUCUAAAGCUAAAUACCGGCCAGAGACCGAUAGCGCACAAGUAGAGUGAUCGAAAGAUGAAAAGCACUUUGAAAAGAGGGUUAAAUAGCACGUGAAAUUGUUGAAAGGGAAGCGCUUGUGACCAGACUUGCGCCGGGCGGAUCAUCCGGUGUUCUCACCGGUGCACUCCGCCCGGCUCAGGCCAGCAUCGGUUCUCGCGGGGGGAUAAAGGUCCUGGGAACGUAGCUCCUCCGGGAGUGUUAUAGCCCGGGGCGUAAUGCCCUCGCGGGGACCGAGGUUCGCGCAUCUGCAAGGAUGCUGGCGUAAUGGUCAUCAGCGAC
rnacentral:rRNA from 4 species